rnacentral:tRNA from 1 species
GCAGGGGUAGCCAAGCGGUCAAAGGCGGCAGGCUCAAGACCUGUUCCUGUAGAGGUUCGAGGGUUCAAAUCCCUUCUCCUGCA